UGGGGAAUUUUGGACAAUGGGCGAAAGCCUGAUCCAGCAAUGCCGCGUGUGUGAAGAAGGCCUUCGGGUUGUAAAGCACUUUUGUCCGGAAAGAAAUCCUUGGCCCUAAUACAGUCGGGGGAUGACGGUACCGGAAGAAUAAGCACCGGCUAACUACGCGCCAGCAGCCGCGGUAAUACGUAGGGUGCAAGCGUUAAUCGGAAUUACUGGGCGUAAAGCGUGCGCAGGCGGUUUGCUAAGACCGAUGUGAAAUCCCCGGGCUCAACCUGGGAACUGCAUUGGUGACUGGCAGGCUAGAGUAUGGCAGAGGGGGGUAGAAUUCCACGUGUAGCAGUGAAAUGCGUAGAGAUGUGGAGGAAUACCGAUGGCGAAGGCAGCCCCCUGGGCCAAUACUGACGCUCAUGCACGAAAGCGUGGGGGAGCAAACAGGAUUAGAUACCCUGGUAGUCCACGCCCUAAAACGAUGUCAACUAGUUGUUGGGGGAUUCAUUUCCUUAGUAACGUAGCUAACGCGUGAAGUUGACCGCCUGGGGGAGUACGGUCGCAAGAUUAAAACUUAAAGGAAUUGACGGGGUCAUAGCUGUUUCCU
rnacentral:rRNA from 1 species